AGAGUUUGAUCCUGGCUCAGAACGAACGCUGGCGGCAGGCCUAAUACAUGCAAGUCGAGCGCUGUAGCAAUACAGAGCGGCGCACGGGAGAGUAACGCGUGGGAACCUUCCUUUUGGUUCGGAAUAACACCGGGAAACUGGUGCUAAUACCGGAUAAGCCCUUCGGGGGAAAGAUUUAUCGCCGAAAGAUGGGCCCGCGUAGGAUUAGCUAGUUGGUGAGGUAAUGGCUCACCAAGGCUACGAUCCUUAGUUGGUCUGAGAGGAUGAUCAGCCUCACUGGGACUGAGACACGGCCCAGACUCCUACGGGAGGCAGCAGUAGGGAAUAUUGGACAAUGGGGGCAACCCUGAUCCAGCCAUGCCGCGUGAAUGAUGAAGGCCUUCGGGUUGUAAAGUUCUUUUGGCGGGGACGAUGAUGACGGUACCCGCAGAAUAAGCUCCGGCUAACUUCGUGCCAGCAGCCGCGGUAAU
rnacentral:rRNA from 1 species